rnacentral:rRNA from 1 species
UACGGAGGGUGCAAGCGUUAUCCGGAUUCACUGGGUUUAAAGGGUGCGUAGGCGGGCAGGUAAGUCAGUGGUGAAAUCUCCGAGCUUAACUCGGAAACUGCCGUUGAUACUAUCUGUCUUGAAUACCGUGGAGGUGAGCGGAAUAUGUCAUGUAGCGGUGAAAUGCUUAGAUAUGACAUAGAACACCAAUUGCGAAGGCAGCUCACUAGACGAGCAUUGACUCUGAGGCACGAAAGCGUGGGGAUCAAACAGG